GCCGUAUCGCGCCCGCCUCGACGAUGGUCGCCUUGUUCUCGUCGCAGAUGGAGAGGUUGAGCAGCGCCGUGACGCCGUGCUCCUGCAGCAGCGGGUCCGCGUGCGACAGCAGCCUGACGAGCGGGCGGACGCCGCCCGCCGCGGCGAUGCGGACCCGGUUGUCCGGGUUGUGCUUGGCCAGCAGCCGGAGCUCCAUCGCCGCGCGGCGGAGCGAGUCCAGCGACUGCGACGGGCAUUCCAGCUCGGCCACGAGCGAGGAGAUUGCGUCCUCCGACGCCUCGGCCGCGCAGGAGAGCAGCAGGCGGUGGAUGCCCGCGGCGGCGGCGGGCGUGAAGGAGAGGUCGUCGCUGCCGCACUCGCUGAAGGGCUCGGAGCAGGAGGAAUCGCCGCUGUCGCUGUAACAGCUCGUGCUGCGCCGCCGCGGGGAGGUGGACGCGUCCGACUCCAUUCCCUCCGUCAGCCUCGUGUCGCGCGGCUCAGUUCCGAGCUGGAGCAAAUGCCGGAAGGCCGCGAGGCGAGGGAGGAGGGUGGAGGAGACCGGGAGCCCGAGUGGGGAACGAUGGAAUUGGGUUCUGUUCUUUGCUUUGCGUUUGGUUGGAGAGGCGAGCUAGCGGUGGCGUCGCUAGGAGCGAAUGAAAUAAGGAGGGGC
rnacentral:misc_RNA from 1 species